UACGUAGGGCGCAAGCGUUAUCCGGAAUUAUUGGGCGUAAAGAGCUCGUAGGCGGUUCGUCGCGUCGGCUGUGAAAACCUGAGGCUCAACCUCAGGCCUGCAGUCGAUACGGGCGGACUUGAGUACUGCAGGGGAGACUGGAAUUCCUGGUGUAGCGGUGAAAUGCGCAGAUAUCAGGAGGAACACCGGUGGCGAAGGCGGGUCUCUGGGCCGUAACUGACGCUGAGGAGCGAAAGCGUGGGGAGCGAACAGG
rnacentral:rRNA from 1 species